UCUGCUGUAGACCUUCCUCCUCCUCCCCCUCUUUUACACGGACGCGCCCUCCCCUUCAGCGCAGCGGAUGAGCGCGCCGUGGAUGCUCGCUGGAGUACAGAGCUGCAACGAGGACGGGAGGAGAACACUUUGACCGGCAGCGGGGGAGCGACAUCGGGACUCUUCUUUUCUUUGAAAAACUAAAAGAUAAAACAAAGGAAAACUUUGGAAUUUCCGGUGCAAACUUGAAACUUGUGAGGUCGGAGGACGAACUGUGGGGUCAGCAUGACAUCUCUGAUGAACUCUGCGUGCUUGCUCUUCUUGCCUGUUGCUCUGCUUCUGAUGCUGAGUCCGUGUUCUGCAGUCUCAGCCAGAAGGUGUCACUCCAUCUACAAGGGUUUCGCUCAGUGUCUGAUGGCUCUGGGCGACAGUUUGACGGACAGCGCCCGCAAGGAGGAGGACACGCACGAGAUACACUCCAUCUGCAGGUCGUGGGAUGAGUUCCAUGACUGCGCUAACGUGGCGAUGGCUGGCUGUCCCGAGGAAGCGGCAGCUGUCUGGGAGUCUCUCCGCCAGGAGUCUAAGAAAAUGCAGUUCUCCGGAAACCUUUAUGACAUGUGCUCCAACCGUAACACCCACCCAGCGGCCUCGGUGUCCCCUAACGGCUCACCCAACCAAGAAGAGAUCAACCAGGAGUCUCUAAGAGGGAGGGCCUAUCACGUGGCAGGCUGCCUCCACUAUCUCCUUCUACUGUCUCCUCUGCUGCUGCUGUUGUUGUUUUGGAUAUAAAUACCCCCAAAGAAAUGGGAUUAGUGUGAAUAGAUAUAAACUUUGUGUACUUUUUCUUCCACAAUUCCAUAGACUUUUCACUGCUUCUUCCUCUGCUCUGCCAGGGGUCGAAUAUUUCUAACUGCAUGUUCAGAGGCUCGACAGUCUUUUUGAUAAUAUAUCUCUAAAUUGCCUGUGCCGUUUCAUGCAUAUUCUCUGCCUAUUAAUUAGAUUCUCAGUUGAAAAAAAGCUCACAAAACUCACCGAGAGAUACACAAGCCCUGCAAACACAUACAUAGUUGAGCAGAUGCAUACUGCAGCCUCGCAUCAUCCGUCUUCAUCCUGUAUCCUUCUAAAUCUAGUUAGUACGAGCUUGCAUGUGAUGGUUUCAGGGUGAGUCUGUCUCCUUGAAUGCAAUAAGAUAAGAGAUUAAUAAGAGAAAUGUAAUAACUAAGACUUGUUUGAUAAACUUGAAAACAAAGCGAUGAAAAGACUAGGUGCCACAACUAGUUACUGUUAACCCCACUUUUAUGUGGGCUUUACAUGAUGAACAACACCCAUUUCCUAUUUACUAAAUGCAGACACAGUGCUGGGUGUGAGUAGUUAAGAUAUAAUGAUGGUGAUGAUGAUGUAGUUCUAAUGUUCCGAAAUUAGUUUUUCAGACUACAAAGUAAUUGGAGUCAUAAAUUACACUUGCUGUAAAUGGAGCUAACUUUGAAGCUAACUAAUUUUGAAUAAUGUUCUUAUUUAGAGAAAAUGCAUCACAGUGUCUUCUGUGGGUGCAGGAGCAACACGAGCUCUGAGCUGAAGUUCAAUUGAAGUCAGAGUAUGCCGGAGUGGUUUUUAUUUGCUGCUUGCUCAGUUAUGAAGUCCUCCUCCUUGGCAUCCUGCAUUGGAGCCCUACAGUAUGGGACCAAUAUGUUCUCCAGUCAGAAACACAACCCACUUGCAUGCCAAGUGGAUUUCAUGCUCCAGGAGUCAUAGAUUUGGCCCUGCAGGCCUGCUUGAGCUGCUUGUUAUUCUAAGUGGUUGCAGGUAACAGUUGUUUCUGUCUGGCCCAGGAUCAGAUAUAUUAUGAGAUUAGAGACAGAUAGAGAGUGAGAGAGAUGAGUACAGCUGGAAAACAUACAGUUCUGCCUAGUUGAAGAUUGAAUCCACUUGUCUCGCAGCGAGUGUGUUUUACACAGGGGGCUUUAGGUUGCAAGUUUACUUUUCCUUCUCUACAAAAAAUAAAAUAAAAUAAAAGCCAGGUCAACUUUAAAGAGUUACGCUAAGAUGUGUGGAUGCACAACACAUAAUCCUCAAGGGACCACAACAGUGCACCAACUUUAAGAGAGGUGGAAAUAAAUGAAAUUUAUUAGACAAAAAAGAUCCAAAGAGAGCUGCGUAAUAGCUGAUUGAGUCUGUCUACCUUGCCAGUGGCAAGUUCGUUAAAUGUACCUUACAGAGUUGAAUAGAAGCCGAGAGGCAUUUCAAACAGAUUUAUGGAUGGGUGACAAAUGAAAGAAAAAUGCAACAUAAAGUGCGUCUUGAUUUUCCAAGUCUCUGGCACUCUGCUUGAGGGAUGAAACAUCAUUCUCCCAAAGAUAUUCCCUUUAUUUGGUGUUUUGAUGAUGGCAGUGAGGAGUGCUGUGUAACAAAGUAGCCCGAAAUCUCCUGGAGGUUCAACGGGGUUGACAUUGAAUGAGAAGGUCAUAGCAAAUGAAUCACACUUUUCCUUUCCCAUGUCCAUUCAGCGACCCCUUGUUUACUAUAAAUGGCUGAAUUAUCAUUCUGGAACAGUUCAUACACUGUAUAUAAAAGAUAGACAUAGCCACCAUGGGUCUGUGAAGUCUUACCAUGAAGCCUAGAGCUGAAUAUUGUUCUGGUUGCUUUUUAUGUUUUGAAAUCAGACUGAGACUGAAAAAUUCAAGAGACACGGCACAUAUAUGUUGUAGCAACAUUGCACAAGGGUCCUUGUGGACGUCCAUGUGCAUGCCUGUGUUUUUGACCAUGUGGACUGAUGCACAGAGAAUUUACAUUGCAAUGCACCAACCUAACCAGCUCCCCAAGCAACAGACUUCAAGCAGAUUUCAAAGAUGUAUAAUAACAAAUAUAGAAGUAUAUAAGAAGUAAAAAUAAGUAUGUCUCCAUCUGCAUUCACAACAGUGAAGCCAAAGAAAACCAAGGAAAACAAAAUACAUUUUUCUUAUAGAUUCACCUAUAAAUCGAGUUCUUUUUGCAAAUAGCAGAUUCACCCCCUACUGGCCAACAGAUGGAGGAACAUGCAGGAGGAAUCAGUGGUACUGAACAGGCCAAUCACAAUAACGUGGGCGUGUCGAGGACACAGAUAGUUACAUUUCGAGAGAUGUGCAUGCCAGGUUGCAUUGUAGAGUUUCAGAGAGGUUUGCGGUUCUGGUGUAGUUGCCACGGUAACAGUGCAAAAUGCAAAUGUAACAGAAGAGAUGAGGGUCACAUAUGUAAAAGUGUAUUUUCAGUUCUUGUACCACAGUCUUAGGGAGCAGAGGGGGUGUUGUGCUUUUUACUGCCCGUGGUAAGGAACAGUCUUUUAAUCUGUUGGUUCGCCACGCUGGCUUCCUUUGCAGACCUCAAGUAUGUCCAUCUUUUAUAUACAGUCUAUUGAAAGACCUUUUCCAACAGGAUAGUAAUGUUUCAGCUUAGACUAAAUUACUAAAACAACCUUUAUAUAUUUUUACAUAUAUACUUUUUUAUAUAACUGGACUAAACCCGUGUAGUAAAAUGCUCCGACAGCAUAAUAGGAUGUGCUCACAGUAGUAGUAAAAGGUUCAGGUUUUUCCUAUCUCCGUUCUCGGCUAUUUAUUUAUGCAGUAAUUUAGUUUGGGACAUCAAUGUCAAAAGCAAACUUUGCCCUACAAGCUCAAAAGCUCAGUACAACUGAAACUCCAACAAAUAUUACAUUUUUAAUCAUUUUUUAAAUGUUAAGAAUAAACAGCAGCAGGAACCCACUGACAGAAACAGUGAGACAAAUUUACACUAAAAGAGAAAAACUCCAACCAUCCCACAGCUCCUUUUUUACGUGAAGGACUUCAUCCACAGAUAUGCAUGAAUUUUUUAAAGAGGCUGCUCCAGUUUUGAACUUUAAUUAAACUGACAGAAUUAGCAAUUAAGAGGCCUCAAUGGCUGACUCACUAAGGUGCAGCAAUUUGAGAACUAUCUUCAUGGAGCUCUGAUAAGAUGAUGCAACUGGAGAUUAAAUUUAAGUAAAUCCUAAAUGUGAGGACACACAGGAAGAUCACACAAGACGUGUUUGUAUAAAAUCCUACAGCACAGUGAGUGCUGUCAACAUGUCCCAGGGUGGUUUAUGGAAAUGUAACAGGUUUAGACCUGCCUUUAAAGACUCUUACAUACAGAGGUACUCCAAAACACAAAGAAACCUUCUCAACUCUGUUAUGAGAAGUUCUGUUGCAUGAACAAAUCCGAUUUCAGCGAUUUUUCAAUAACUCUGCAGUGUAAAUGCAACAUUAUUGACCAAAGCUGAGCAGGGAAUUAUUUCCCAGCACUGCAUUUGAGACUAUACAUCUCUUUGCCUCCGGCAACAGCUUGGUGUUCUGACAAAUAGCUUAAAUUGGACUGAAAGGGUGGCAGGAGAUGGAGAAGCAAUCUUAAACACCAGUACAUCACUGUCCCAUCAAUGGUACACUAUAUUUGGCUUUAUUACUCUGAGCAAAUGGCAGUGAAAACAACAAACAUGUUGCCAUUUAUUCAUUUCCUCUGCAGCACAUUUUGAUUGCUACAGAAGAGAAUAAAUAUGGUUAGGGGCUGGGGUUUCCAUUUCCUUUUAAAUGCUUUAUUAAAGAACCAGACUCCUCUGAUACGAUCCGUUUUCAAUCAGCACAACUUUGCUCCGCUCUUUGUCUUUAUGACCUGCAGGAUCACAGUCCCACUUCUUUCACUAAUUAUUAAUUGUUAACAGAGACACAGAAAGCCAAAAGUUUCACGCUGAUCCAUCAUCAACUCGCUCACACUACAAAUUAAAAAAUUAAAAUUAAAAAAGUUUUGUUAGCCUAUUUAGCGAUGCAUGGUUAUGAAUGCGGAGCUGUUUCUUUGAAUCAUACAAACUCUGCAUUUCUAAAGAGAUGAUAGAGAAAGUGAAAUUUGUGCAUCUUUUAAUAACAGCUGAUUCAGUUUUGGGCUUUUUAGGGAACCAGGAAUCUUUGCUCACCAGGUGACAGACACUCUUACUGUCUUUGUUUAUCAUCCUGGCAAUGUUUGUUUUUAUUUAUAAUUCAUAAAUUCUUUACUACUGUUGAAGAAAGCAGGGUUCACCAACACGUAUUUGCUCUACCUUCCUAAUUAAUCAUAUUAUAAAUGUGAUAUGUGAACACAAUGAUUUUUGUGUUUCAGAGACAAAGAUGUAGAUAUCAAACGGAGACAAAGCACACACACACACGCACACGCACACACAUAUAUACAUAUAUAUAUAUAUAUAUAUACAGAGAAGAAUGAUUGUUUUCCUGAUCUUGUUACUCGCUCCUCAAAAAGGAAGCACUUAAGUUUUUAAAUACAGCAGUCAAACCAACAGAGAGUAGGGGUGAUAUCACUCACGGGGGCUCGUUCAGCUGCAAUAAAAGUUAAUCAGUUUCUAGUCUAUUUUUCCAUCAGCAAACUCACCUGGGUUUUUCCGAUAUCAAUACACAUUUUUAGUGGGAAAAAAAAAUCCAUUUAGUAAAAAGAAUUACACACAGGGUUACCGAAGGACCUCCAACACACAGUUCUCCAAACUCGUUUAUUGUUAUCAAGCUUUAACUGAAGCACAGAUGUGAUCUAAUUCGGAUGCUCAUUUUUCUGACUUUAAUGGAGAUCUCCUUUAGGGAUAUGCUGACUAACUCAUCCUGUAUAUUCAUAGACUGAUUUGUAUGUGAGGGUUAUAGAUAGCUUUCCUUUUUGUGUUCAUUCUGGAGGGAUCGUAGCAAAAAUCGAGCACAUAAAAUUCCUUUUUACUGGCUGUAAGAGCAUUUUUUCACUACAUGAGAGCUGAGCAUUUUCCCCAGCCAGCCUUUUCUAUAAUUCUGUGGAGGUGAAACACCAGCUCUGCCUCUCUGUAGUGAAUGUUUCCCUCACCUUCAGUUUGUCUCCUGAACUCCUGUUGUCUUUCUGCCUCUGCCAACUCCUCUCUGUCAUUUCAUUUGGCUCCUCGUCUGUGAUUCGGGUAAAUAUGGCAGACCCUCAAAUAAGUUAAAUUGUAACUUUACGUUUCCAGAAAGCUUGCACUAUAAAAUGGACAUUCCAGACUGGAUAUUGGUGUUUACUUCAUCCAGACUUAAACAAUUGAAAUUAUGUAAUUUAUGAACAAUGAGGAAAUGUGUUGGGGUUUCUUGCCCUGACUGUUUUGUGCACCUCACAGUCCUAGUCUGACCCAUAAAGCUACAAAACUGACGUUUACGGUUAAUACGUCAGCUUGAAAACCACAUUUACAUUAUGUAUUACAGUAUGAACAAACAAGAGUUAGGCUGGAAGUAACAUACAGGAAAUAUUGAUAUGAGAUUUACUGGAUCAGACUUGUGAAAGCACAGACAGACAGCUAUCACCUGGAUAGCACACACAUCUACUCGCAUUUAGCUAGUGACUGCGAGCUCAGCUGUUGUUUCAGGCUCAUAGCUCAAACCUGAGGCCUCCAGUUAUAAUUACUGAUAAGAGGGGAAAAAAGAAAUUACUAGAUACUAAAAAGUUUGGGAAGCACAAGAUAAGUAUGGCAGUGACCUAUGUACGUCAUUAAAGAUGCAUUUUGUGAAGAGAAAGGCAAUGAAAGAAAAUAAUUCUGCUUUUCCCCUUCCAUUUAUGGCUAAUAUAAAAAGGAGUGAGAGAGUAUUUAAAUGAAUCUUAAUGCCUCCUCCCCUUAUUAAACACCGCUCAUAAAUUCAAACUACUAUUUCGAAAGUCAAGUCACAGUUUUAUGACAAGAAACGCACAGACUGACAAUGAGUAAAGUCACAUCACUCUGUAUAGUGUGAAUACUUAAAUCUCUGUUAUUAUCAGUGUAUAUAACAGUUUCAUAUAUAUAUAUAUAUAUCUCAAAUGUCAUAUAUGCCUUGCAAUUGCUACUUUUAAAGCUUUAACAUUUUCUAUUGUAGUGUUUCAUCCACUUUAUUCCUCUCCCCAGGACACAUUUAUCUGCUCUAUAACAGCUGCUACCACUGAUCGUAUAACAUAUUGAGCUUUUUAGAAAAAAAUUAUAUUUAUUUAAAAAAUAUGCAUUAGAAAAAAAAAUCAGUUCAUAACUACUAGAUAUAUGUCCUUAAUGAGAAAAAUUGACACUUGAUUGCAAAACAAAACUCUGGAAGGUGUCAUGAGCAGCUCUUGUAAUAUUUGUUUUAUGAUAAAACAAUAAAAUAAAAUGAAUUUGAUUAAAUGACCAAGCUAAUAAUCAGUUGAUUAAUCAGCAUUUUUAAAAAUGUGCUUUGGGUGUCUUAUAAGCUACAUGACAUCGAGUGGUGGUGAGAACAGCUCUCUUCAUUAGACCGUUUGUUCUAUAUAAGCAGGGCGUUACUGCUGAGCUGUCAGUCACCUUCACAUUAAAUGAACUUACAGCCAAAUACAUAAUUGCUAUAAAUGAUAGAGGAAAAUUGACUCGGAGCGUAACAAUUUUAAAGCCAUAAAGUGCACGUGUAAUUCAAACUGUUACAUCUUCUAUCUUUGCAGCUAGAUUGUUAAUUGUAACUGCAUCUUUCCCUCUUUUUCUCAUUUUGAUCCACGUUUCAGACUAAAUUGCCGUUUUCUCUCCUGAAAACUGUGCUUUUGGGCCUCACUUUGAUCUUGUCACACUUUAGCCCUUGGACUGUUGAAUUUGUUUACACAAGGGCCUUAAACCACAAUCUCCUGCUUGGCAAUCUUGUUUUUAAUAUCUGUUUUCAGACAGGCAAAAAAUAAAAAAUAAAAAUGCUAAAAUGCUUCUUGUGUAUAAAGUAAAUCCAACCACCAUGCUUUGAUUUCUCAGAUGGGCCCAUAAACGAAGCGCUGAAUGAAUUCAGCUUCCUAUAAUCUACUCAUGUAAAACACACUCUGUGUUAUUUGAAAUAACUAGUCUAACAAUAUGAAAUCCUGUCACAUGCUGGAUUUUGCCAGAAAAAAACACAACACAAGCUUUAUAUGUGCAUUUAUUGUUGUGUGUGUACACAAACAGUGAUUGUUUUCUGUGUUUAAGGUUGUAAGUGUGUGUCUGUGUGUGAGAUGGAAAGUGUGGUAUAAAUCAGCUGUUAAAUGAGUGAUUUAUCAACACAACAUGAUGUAAAUUUCAUUGUUACUGAUUAAACUGCUCUUCUUCGACACUUUCCAAACAAGAUGGCAUCCCCUAACCACGUUUGUUUGUUGAAUUAGCAUGCAGAGCUUUUUGCCAUUUUGUGCGCAAAUAACAGAGGACUAGAACCACGUGUAUGUACGUACAUUAUCAUAUGAAAUAUUCAUUACAUUCCUAUGUGAAGAUUAGGUCAUUUCAAGAAGCUACUAUUCGGGAGAUCUGAACAUCAUCACAUCAUGGAUGAAGGAAUUACUCCACGGAUGAAAGCGGGAAUCUUCAUGACAGCAGCUCUGUGCACAUACUGAUCACAUAAGUGUAUUUUAUUGUGGACAGUGACAAAGAAUGCGCAGUAUUGUACAUCAAUAAAUACAGCCAUAAGUCUUUUGAAAUGAUGGAGACGCAGCAUUUUCUGCUUCUAAAAAGAACUUUGUGAGAUAUUUCUGUAUUUGUCCUUGGCUGUCUUUGAUUAUGUCUGCUUUCUCUCCUUUUUUCUUAAACCUUUAUAUCAUAUCACUCUGCUUAUCUUACUUUUUUCCCUGCCCUAUUAGAAAAUCCAUCUUCAU